GCUGGGUGCAGUGACACGCGCCUGUAAUCUCAGCUGCUAAGGAGGCUGAGGCAGGAGGAUGGCGAGUUCAAAGCCAGCCUCAGAAAAAGCAAGGUGCUAAGCAACUCAGUGAGACCCUGUCUCUA
rnacentral:sRNA from 1 species